rnacentral:lncRNA from 1 species
CUAAGCUUAUUUGCGUCAGUUGUUAGACAAUUAUCAUGUUACUGAAUCAAAAGAAAACAACCACUGUCAAUUAAAAGAAAUCAAUGGCCACUAACAGAUAAAUUGCAAGAUAUGUAAUCCUCACUAAGAUAUAAAGCUACAGUGCAUGGACUUCCAAUCAAAAUUUCUUUCAGAUUUAUUAAUAUCAGAAGCACGUAAUUGAAUCUUAAUGCAUCGAAACAUGUAUUUGUACCCACAUUAAUAAUUAAGCAAACCUCAUCUAAUUUGUAAUCUACUGAUAUUUUUCAUGAUCCAUAUGUUUUAGAUUCCUAUAUCUCUUUUACCCAAGGUUUUCAUCAUACGUUAGUCAACUCAUAAUUAAAUUAAGGGGAAAUCAAGGAGUGGACCUGAAUUUGCAGAACUUUAAUUAAUUCCAGGAGCAAAGAAAUAUAAAUUAACAGCCACGAACGAACCUCGAUCAUCAACGAACACUCAAACAAACCCCCCACACGGGCAAAAUUUAACUCAUCUCCAUUGAAAUUAGAAGGAACAAAACUUCAAAAUUCAAACGACCUCUAUAACAAACCUCGAACAGAGCCUCGCGCCGGCGGAAGGAACAACGAUAUCACAGCAAAUCUAGGGAUAACAAAUCGAACGAAUCUGAGAUGCUUAGACUCCAAAAUGCUGGUUGAAGUUGAAGAAGAAAGAACUGAGGGGUCAUUGGUUUCGUUUUAUCGAAGAAGAAGAAACAACCAUGGAGAGUUCUAUCGUUUUCGCUGAGGAAGAAGCUCGAGUUCGCUGAGGGUGUCUUGUAUGUGAUCAACGGUGGAUCAGAUUUU